rnacentral:rRNA from 1 species
UUGAACGCUGGCGGCAUGCCUUACACAUGCAAGUCGAACGGUAGAGGGGCAAUCCUUGAGAGUGGCGAACGGGUGAGUAAUGCAUCGGAACGUGCCCAGUCGUGGGGGAUAACGCAGCGAAAGCUGUGCUAAUACCGCAUGUGAUCUGUGGAUGAAAGCAGGGGACCGCAAGGCCUUGUGCGAUUGGAGCGGCCGAUGUCAGAUUAGCUAGUUGGUAGGGUAAAAGCCUACCAAGGCGACGAUCUGUAGCUG